rnacentral:tRNA from 1 species
UGCUUAGCUCAGCUUGGUUAGAGCACCUGCCUUACAAGCAGGGGGUCAUAGGUUCGAGUCCUAUAGUAUCC